rnacentral:rRNA from 1 species
UACGAGGGGGCGAGCGUUGUUCGGAAUUUAUUGGGCGUAAAGGGUGCGUGAGGUGACGGUUUGUAGUCUGAUGUGAAAUCUAUGGGCUCAACUCAUAGUCUGCAUCGGAAACUGCCGGGCUUGAGUGUGGGAGAGGUGAGUGGAAUUCCUGGUGUAGCGGUGAAAUGCGUAGAUAUCAGGAGGAACACCUGUGGCGAAAGCGGCUCACUGGACCAUAACUGACGCUGGAUGCACGAAAGCUAGGGGAG